GAUGAACGCUGGCGGCGUGCCUAAUACAUGCAAGUCGAGCGAACAGAUAAGGAGCUUGCUCCUUUUACGUUAGCGGCGGACGGGUGAUUAACACGUGGGUAACCUACCUAUAAGACUGGAAUAACUCCGGGAAACCGGGUCUAAUGCCGGAUAACAUUUAGAACCGCAUGGUUCUAAAGUGAAAGAUGUUUUUGCUAUCACUUAUAGAUGGACCCGCGCCGUAUUAGCUAGUUGGUAAGGUAACGGCUUACCAAGGCAACGAUACGUAGCCGACCUGAGAGGGUGAUCGGCAACACUGGAACUGAGACACGGUCCAGACUCCUACGGGAGGCAGCAGUAGGGAAUAUUCCGCAAUGGGCGAAAGCCUGACGGAGCAACGCCGCGUGAGUGAUGAAGGUCUUCGGAUCGUAAAACUCUGUUAUUAGGGAAGAACAAAUGUGUAAGUAAAUGUGCACGUCUUGACGGUACCUAAUCAGAAAGCAACGGCUAACUACGUG
rnacentral:rRNA from 1 species